rnacentral:rRNA from 1 species
CCUACGGGGCGCAGCAGUGGGGAAUAUUGGACAAUGGGCGAAAGCCUGAUCCAGCCAUGCCGCGUGUGUGAAGAAGGCCUUCGGGUUGUAAAGCACUUUCAGUGGGGAAGAAAGCCUUGGGGCUAAUACCCUCGAGGAAGGACAUCACCCACAGAAGAAGCACCGGCUAACUCCGUGCCAGCAGCCGCGGUAAUACGGAGGGUGUGAGCGUUAAUCGGAAUUACUGGGCGUAAAGCGCGCGUAGGCGGUCUGAUAAGCCGGUUGUGAAAGCCCCGGGCUCAACCUGGGAACGGCAUCCGGAACUGUCAGGCUAGAGUGCAGGAGAGGAAGGUAGAAUUCCCGGUGUAGCGGUGAAAUGCGUAGAGAUCGGGAGGAAUACCAGUGGCGAAGGCGGCCUUCUGGACUGACACUGACGCUGAGGUGCGAAAGCGUGGGUAGCAAACAGGAUUAGAUACCCCAGUAGUC